rnacentral:rRNA from 4 species
UUGUACACACCGCCCGUCGCUACUACCGAUUGAAUGGCUCAGUGAGGCCUUCGGACUGGCCCAGGGAGGUCGGCAACGACCACCCAGGGCCGGAAAGUUGGUCAAACUCGGUCAUUUAGAGGAAGUAAAAGUCGUAACAAGGUCUCCGUAGGUGAACCUGCGGAGGGAUCAUUA